GCGGGCCCGACGUUUCCCGGCGCUGAGGGUCUUCCCUGCCAGCCCGUAGUCCGCACGGAGCCAUAGAGCCGGGCGCGGGCGUGCGGCGGAUUCCUGAGCCCAGGGCCUCGGGCCGAGCCGCGCCCAGGAAUUCGGAGACGCCGCCCGCCUCUCUUGUCGCUCCGGGAGCUCCAAAACUUACUGUGUGGGCGAGCAGGCCGGGGUGACAGGUGCAACUCAGAGUGUGACAAACACGCCUUGCAGAGUCUCACUGAUUUUUUUCAGACGUGGAGAGCUCAUUAGGCCCACUUUAUACUUAGCCACGAGUGUACACAAUACUUUCUGUUGACAGGAGAUGUUUUGGAAGAGUACAGUGAAGAUUUAGCGAGGUUAAAUUGUUUAGUGGGGCCAUAGUUUACCAAUGCAAUGAAAUGACCAGACCUUGCUUUAAGUGGAAGUCUCAUAUAGUUUCUUACCCAAAGAAAAUAAUACCGUGCUUUAUGAAAGAAACUUUAAAAAAGAAGAAAAAAUUUACAGAGCUCACUGAAUAGUUUGUUCCGAAGGAGAACUUUUAAAUACUUUUGAGGUUAAACAUUAUUUAGAGACAAGGUCUCACUGUGUAUCCUUGGCUGGCCUGGAACUUGCUCUGCAGACCAAAGUAUGUAUAGAUCCUCAAAAUAAGAAAACCAGCAUUAUAAAAAUCUGUAUUAUAUCUACUAAGAAACACUAAUUUUUGCAGAUAAUGAGACAACACUCAUCUGUUCUCAGAAUGAGUUUCUUUUUAAACAACAAAAUUUAGCUGUUAUAAUAUGGCAAGUGGGGGUUGGGGAUUUAGCUCAGUGGUAGAGCGCUUGCCUAGCAAGCUUCAAGGCCCCAGGUUUGGUCCCCAGCUCCAGGAAAAAAAAAAAAGUCGUAGAGAUCCGCCUGCCUUUGCCUCCCACAGUGCUAGGAUUAAAGGCUUGGGUCACCUAGCCCAGCCAUAUAUCUUUUUCUGAAAAGCGGGUACUGAGUAUGCUUCAAGGAUCAUCAGGAUGGGCGGUAAGAGAACUGUUGGAAGUCUGGCUUUUGGCUGUUUUGAGAGACUUAUAGGGCAAGUGUUGGAAUAUGUUAGAGAACUGAAUUGGAUCUUGGCCCUUGUACUUAAUAGUAGUUUGAGUUGGGCUUGUUUCUUUCUCUACACCCUCGUUUCCUCAUCUUUAAACUGGCGAUUCAUAUUUUUGUCUCAUGGGAACAUUGACUGAGGAUUACAGAACCUCUCUGUAAGGUUCCCCUUUUUGGAGUGCUUGCCCAGAGGUGUAUGCUGGAAGCCGCCAUUUUCCUGCUCUUGAUGGUACCUGAAGAGUAAUUGCAUAGGAGUUGUGUGAUUAAUCUUAGGGGUUUAUUUGGAUAUGUGCUGCCGUGUAAAAAUUUCAUUUUUGUCGUAUUAUUCUUGUUUUAUAUAUUCAGAAGCUCUACUGCUUGAUGGCUGCAUAUUCAGGAUCCAGUGUCUUAAGUGGUCUAUGGUUAUAGGCAGCAAUGGUUUGAAAAUAUUAAAUGGGAAUUUACAGAAGCAAACAAUUCAGAUAUUUGAAGUCAUGUGCUGCUCUGAAUAUUUAUGAUGUCUAGUGGUCUUACUGCCUCCUGUCUGAGAAAUGAGCCAUCUCUCUGUGCUCUCUACAUCGACCAAUGAUCUGCCACUUGAAGUUUUCCCAACUGUUGUGGUGUUGACUGUUCUGGAAGCUCAGUGUUUAAAUGAUUCCCAUUUUACCUGGUAAUAUUCCCCAGUACACAAGGCAUGACACCUGACGGAGACAUUCCUGGAGGAAAAGAGAAAAGAACAGCAUAGCGGUUGAGAAUGACGGUCCAGCCAGCAUUUGGAAAGGUUACCACGCUUUGAGCUUUCGUGACUUUUGAUGAGACAUCUGUUGUCAGCUGAAUUGUUUGACCCAUCACUACAGCCUUUAAAGAAAAACUCAGGAGUUUAUGGGAUCAGCUCUGCAUGUGUUUCUUUUGGCAUAGCCUUUUUUCCCCCUUUCUUUUCUUUUCUUUUCUUUUCUUUUUUCUUUUCUUUUCUUCUCUUUUCUGUUCUGUUCUGUUCUGUUCUUUCUUUCUUUCUUUUCUCUGAUCCUUUCCAGUAGGACUUCAGAAGUCUUUUCUUGAGGUUUUCCCCAGGUCCUGAGUGUGUCAUUUGCUUGUAGUGCAUUUUCUGUUCAAAUUGUGCAGUUCCUGUUCUGUCUUCACGUUAACCAAAUCUUCUUCUGUUUUGCUCUUGAGCCCGCCUUUUCCAGUUUCAGUUUUCAAUUGGUUAUCCUUCAUGUUAGCACUCCUCUUUAGAUGAGCUUUUCCAUUCUUUACUCAUGUGCUCAGGAUUGCCCACUGAAGCAUGAGCGUAUGUGUAAUGCCUUUCUCAGGGUCUCUAAUAUGGAACUCUCUAUGUAGCCCUAGUUGCCUUAAACUCAGGGAUGCACCUGGCUCUGCCUCUCUUCCCGAGUGCUGUGCUUAGUCUUUCCUUAUUUUGUGAGGCAGGGUCUCGCUGAAUCUGGGUGCACUAGUUGUCUGGAUAAUGAUCUCCAAUGUUGUGUGGUCUUCAUAUCCUCAUCUUGGGUUAUAGACAGUGCUCCUGGCUGUUAUGUGGAUGUGGGAUUCAAACUCAAAUCCUCACGCUUGAAUGGCAGGCAGUUUCCCACUGAGCCAUCUGCGGGGCACUUUUAAAAACGUGAUAGCUUUCUAAAACACAUGUCAGAAUAUUUUGUUAUCUGUAAUUUUGAGGCUAACAUCUCUGGAUUCUCUUUUUCUGAUUCAAGUUGAGGUUUUCCUUUUAUUCCAUUUUCAUUGCAUAAACAUUUUGAGUAUUAUGUGAUAAGAUGAGAUUUAUUUAAUUCUAUAGUUUUACCAGACUUCUGUGAUACCAUGUUAGUAGUAGGAGGGGAAUGUGGAAGACACUGUCUUGAAAGGCUGGUUCCCUGCAUAGCUUUGAUAAGGUUGCCCUAUUUGCUCCAGUGAGAUGACCACUAGUCUUGGGUUGUUUGGGAGAGGAGUAUCUGGUUACUGAAGCCUGAAGGCCCAGGGACCUGACCUGAAAAGUUCUUUAUAUCCUAAAAGCGCUGGGGAUUCUUCAUAUCCUAGUCUUUUCCUUCCUCCUCUCACCCCUCCACUCUGUGUGUGUGUGUGUGUGUGUGUGUGUGAGAGAGAGAGAGAGAGAGAGAGAGAGAGAGAGAGAGAGAGAGAGUGUACGUGUGUGUGUGUGUGUGUGUGUGUGUGUGAGAGAGAGAGAGAGUGUGUGUGUGUGUGAGAGAGAGAGAGAGAGAGAGAGAGAGAGAGAGAGAGAGAGUGUGUGUGUGUGUGUGUGUGUGUGCUCCUGUUUGUCAGUGCUUUUUCUUUUGAGUUUUCUAAACUCAAAGUGGUGGAGUUACUGGCCUUGCAUAGAGGCACUUGCCUUUUUUUUUUUUUUUUUUUUUUUUUUUUUUGAGCUGAGGACUGAACCAAGCGCUCUACCACUGAGCUAAAUCCCCAACCCCCACUUGCCAUAUUAUAACAGCUAAAUUUUGUUGUUUAAAAAGAAACUCAUUCUGAGAACAGAUGAGUGUUGUCUCAUUAUCUGCAAAAAUUAGUGUUUCUUAGUAGAUAUAACACAGAUUUUUAUAAUGCUGGUUUUCUUAUUUUGAGGAUCUAUACAUAAUUUCUUUUGACUCUUAAAAGUUUUAUAACUAUGAUCUAAUAUUUUAGUAAUUAUUAAGAUUUCUGUGAUAAUUACAGCUGAAAAGUCUGUCUUGUUUGUGGUGUUGGGGAUUGAGUCUAGAACUCUGUGUUAGGAGUACUCAGCCUCACAGUGAGUGCUAAGACGAUGCUAUUCUACUUGUUCAGGCCCAGGAUAUUCUUUGGGCUUUCAGAAAUUAUAAAAGUCAAUGCAGUGGGGUUGGGGAUUUAGCUCAGUAAGGCCCUGGGUUUGGUCCCCAGCUCCUAAAAAAAAGAAAAGGAAAACAAAAACAAAACAAAACAAAAGUUAAUGCAGAAUUUCACUGGAAAGGAACUCUGGAUCCCUAUCCACAGUUCACCUUGAGAAUAAGGACUUCUUUACACUUGUCAGAAUAGGUGUGUCUCAUUAGUUCUCUCUGUGGAGGUAGAAUUGAUAAUAGGGUCCAUAAUAAUUACAGGCUACUAGAACUUACGUCCUGAGCUUAGGCCUUAACAUUUUUGUAUUGUGUUUAUUUAAUAUUGGGUAUUAUUAAUUCUAGUUCAAAACUUUCUAUGUAUAGUAUUGGUAUAAUUUCUUAUUCCAAUUUUUUUUUUUUUUUGGUUUCUUAUAGAAUGUUUUGAAAUCACUAAUUUGUUGGGGCUGGACAGAUGACUCAGUGGUUAGGAACACUGGCUUCUCUUCCAGAGGAUCUGGGUCCUAUUCUCAGCAUCCCAUAGCAGUUUACAGUCAUCUGUUACUACAGCCCCAGGGAAUCCAGUGGCCACAUCUGGCCUUUAUGAGCACUAACCAUACAUGUGGUACAGAGGCGUACAUGGCAGACAAAACACCCAUACACAUAAGAAAUAAAUAAAAAAUUUAAAAGACAAGAAGGAGGUGGGAGGGAGGGGGAGGGAGGAAGAGGAGAGAGAAAGAACUAGUUCAAGAUUAUAGUCACGUCUCAGCUUAAGGAGCUGGCUAGCCUUCCUCAUUGUUUCUUGCUUUUUCCACUAUGACUGUGGCAUGUUUUCUGAUGCCCUUUCCUUCAUUAGUUUGGUGAUGAUGGUGCUGGUCAUUGCUGCCUUAGUUUUAGUUUUGGUCUGUUUUGUGCAACAAAACCAGACUGUUUGAGCAUAGGUAAUGUAUGAAGGGCAGCAGUUGCUUUCUUACAGUUCUAGAGGCUGUGUGGUUUAGUAUUAAGGCAGAUCAAUCCAAGCACAUCUUCUUGCUGUUCUUUCUAUGUGGCAGAAGACUCUAAGAGAGCUAGUCCUCUUUCUGGUGGCAUUCACCCUUUUUGAAGGGGACCUUAUGACAGAAAUGUCUUUGGUUAUGGUCCCAUCGCCUGACACUGAGGCAUAUACAUUAAGCUGCUGUCACACGUUUGGAGAGUAUAGAGACAAAAUAAAAACCAAGUAUGCACAUGUUAAUAGUCACGCCUGAUCUCUAGUGACCCAUGGGAUCUUACGAAGACAUGUGGGCUCCCUUACCGAGAAGACCAGACUCAGAAACAACUUAUAUGAGAUGCUUUCCACAUCUAUAUGUACAUCCCACUUAAAUGGCCCAUGAUUCUGAGACCAAGCAACUUCUCUUUAACAGUAGCACCCUCAGUGUCUUGAUAACCUCUGGAGACUCUCCUGUUGUUUGGUGUCAUUGUGUUUCUAUAAAUUUGCUCUUUGUUUUCUCGUUUGGUGAGUUCUUUGUACCCAUUGUGCCACUGCCUUCCAUAAGCUGUCUUCAUGGCAGGCCCAGGGGACAGAGCAUUCCAGCUCCAGUACCUUUUUCACUUUCUGCGUUAGAGGCGGGGAAGCCGGGCUUCUCAUCAGCCUUGGUAAUGACUCAUAGCUGACACCAUUGAGCUCCAUUCUUUGGAGGACAUAGGCACAGUUCCCUACACAGCAUCUAUGGCUAAGGUGUCUCUCUUCUUUGUUAGUGUGCAGGCAGAAGAGAUUAUGUUAUUUAUUCUAAAAAUUUGAACAUUAGAUGCAUUUUAGAUUAAUGUACUUUAACAAAUUCUCAAUAUUUUCAUUCAGGUAGAAACAAUAGAGCUGUCAGAUACUUAAGGUAUAAGAUGCCCACUCCUUGACCUUCGUCUGCUUGCAGGCGUGGAAGCCCUGUGCCGUACAGUCCUUGAGCAGUCUAUUGAAAGCCUGUGGCAGCGGCUGAGGUGGUGUGUCUUCCUCCUUGAAUGAGCAAUACACUUGGGUCCAUGUCAUUGCUUCUGUUUUCUUUGUUCACAUUGUUUUUACUCAUUUAAAAAUGUUCCCAGAAUUAUACUUAAUUGCUGGAAACGCUGAUUUCUCUUGAGUGACAAACCAAUUAAGUGUGUAUGACACCAGGCAACAAAGACAUUUAGGAUUCUAUGCUUAUCCUGUGUCUGGGAAAAAAUCCAUUAUUCAUCAUCUUAUUGUUUUUAAAUACUGAAGUAAAAUUUUAAGUACAAUAGGAAAAUUGCUUUGGAGGGGGAAUAAAGUGCUUGCCAGUUCAAAGGCUACAUUUCUGAAGUCGCGGUCGGUAAACUUGGUGCUGCUCAUAUGCUCAGCCUCCGAGCUCCCCAUGUUGCUUCUCCAGCAUUCAAGCUGGUGAGACUGAGAUUUUUCAACAGGAUCAUUGAGAGAGCCUCAGUGAGGAAAAAAGCCCAAACCCAAACCUUAUUUAUAUAUAUUAACUGGUGUUCUGAAGUUUGACUACAUUUUGGAUAAAUACUCUUUUUUUCUAGUUUAUGUAAAAACUUCACUGAAAUACAUAAUCUUAUGCAGGAAAGAACAAGGACUUUUUCAGGGAAAAUACUUUCUUCAGGCCCCUUAUGGAUUCCCCCCUAAAUCACCUGAAGUGUCAUUUGUAGAAGAUUAUAUGGAGCCAGUGAAAUAGCUGGCAGUUUGGUUGGCUGAGGGAGUGUUUAAAGAGGUGAGGAUCAGUGCCAGGUCUCCCGGUGCAUUUGUGCUUACAUCAGCAUUCUUGGUGGCAGUGAGAGCUGGGAGAUGGAUCCCCACAGUGUUGCCUGUAGCCUCAGCAGCCCCUCACAGAGACCACUCUGUAGAAGUCAGGAUGCUCCACUUCUGCUGCAGAAGAGAACUUCAGGCCAAGUCAGUGUGAAGUAGAAAUACAGAUUGAAGCUAGGCAUUUGGAAAGAAAGACAGGCCUGAACAAGCUUACUUAGUGUCAGGCACUCCCAGGACAAAGGAAGUGGAGGCCGACUGAUCCCUGAGUUCCAGGUCAGCCUGGCCUACAGAAUGAGACUGUCACACAUAGACACAUGCAUGCAUGCAUGCAUGCAUGCACGCACAAGUAAGUAAGUAAAUAAAUGAAACCGUAGAACAGCAUUGGGUUUCUCAGGUCAAGGCACUUGCUAUGCAAGCCUGAGGAGAUGGAAGGACAAAACCAGUUCCUCAAGGUUGCCCUCUGACCUCUAGAUAUAUACAGACAUGUCUAUACAUGUAUAAUAAAAUAAUUAAAGAAAAGGAUAGUAUUACAUGCCCUUAAAUGGUCUUGGGUUUCUCAAAACAGUCUCAUUUAAAUUUCUCAAUAAAAGCUAUCUACAUGAUUUUUGUGGCUUUUGAAAUUAUUGUGAGAAAUUAAAAGGUUUAGUAAAAAGCAAGUUUUAGUAAAUUUUGUUUAAUGAAUCUUCUUUAGGAAAUGAGAUCAUGGGUUGGGAUGUGUUUUAGUUGGUAGAGUGCUUACCUAGCUCUGUGAAACUGAAGCUGGGGUUUCUAUCCCCAGCCCAGCUAAAAAAAUGGUGGUGACACAGGUGGUGCACACUGGUAAUCCUUGUAGUUAGGAUAUGGAGACAAGAUCAGGAGUUUAAGAGUCAGAGGUCAGUUUGGGCUACAUUAGACCCUGUCUUAAAACCACCACCCUUCCCCAUUUAAAACCCCCAACAAAUAAAAAAAAUGAGAUCAUAAGGUGGUUUCUGAAGUGCAUUGAGUUUAUAGGCUCAUAAGAUAAAUGCAUGACUCACAAAGUUCAAAGGACUACCUUAUUGUAUAAGCAGAUCACAAACCAAGACAUGUUUUCACUGAAAACAAGGCUCAUAGUCCUGUGAGCCCUUCUUGAUUCCCGUCAGCAGAGUUAGGAGCCCCUUUCCUUCUCCAGGAUUAGUUUUCCCUGUUUUCCUGCCCUGUACCAGCCCAUUAUAUGUGUGUGAGUUAUUUUGUGUAUGAGUACUUUGUGUUGGGGUGCCUGUGGGAGCCAGAAGAGGGUGUCAGAUUCCCUGGAACUGAAGUUAUGGACAGUUGGGAGCCCCAUUUGAGUGCUGGGAACUGAACCUGGGUCCUCUCUUCAAGAACAGCAAGUGCUCUUAACUAUUGGCCAUCACUUCAGCCCCCCAGUCCCCAUACUUUGAAUCAUUCUUUGGUCAUGGGUAUUAUAACCUUUUCCAUUUCUUUGGUUCCUCUUUUAAACAGCUCAGUGUAGUUAUGGUUGUCUUUUUAGGUAAAACUGUAUACAUGUUUAAUUUCAUGGGUAAGAUCCUGCUCUUUAGUAGCUGUGUAUUAAUGUAUAGGAACAUAAAGACUUGUAAUAAAUCUUCAUGAAUAGUUCACUAUUCCUGCCAGCAGUGAAGACUGCUGAGGGUGUUAAAUGUAAGACUUACUUUUCACAAUGAUAGGUAGUGGUGCAUGUCUGUCAUUGCACCACUCGGGAGGCUGGGGCAGUAAGGUCUCAAGCUUCAUUUAGGCCACCUGAGCUGUAUAGUGAACCCCUAUCUCACACAAUAACAGAGGAAUUACUUUAUCCACUUGACAAACAAGGCAAAGCCUGUUUUUAGAAACAAAUUAUUCUCAAGCUUAGAGUGUGUCUAAUGAACAGUAAUCAUUUGACGUGAGACUAAAACUCCUUCUGAUGCUUCCCUGGUGCUGUGUGUCUUGUCCAUGGCACCCCAUCGUCCCUAGCAUUUGCACAUGGCUGCUCUAUAGGGCCUCAUCUCCUUCUAGAACCUUCAUUAGUCGACUGCUUUCUAGUGUAUAGGGAAGUACAUCCUUACUGCUGUGAUGAUACCUGAUAAAAACAAAUUAAGGAAGGGGUUGUUUGGUUCUUGACAGCAUGUCUGUCCUCACUGGGAGAGAGGGGCCUGUGAGACUCCUGGCCACAUUGUAUCCAGUCAGGAAGCACCAGCUUGUCUUCUGGAUAUCACAUGUAGGAUCUCAGUCUAUGGGAUGGAUCCACACACACUGAGAAUGGGUUUUCCCUCUUCAGCCAAACCUCCCUUGGAGCGUUCUCAUGGAUAUAGGCAGACAGUGAAGACUGCCAUCACAGGAAGGCUCCUGGAUUUGUUUUCUUUCUAGGUCUCCCUUUGUGAGUGAGCUGUUAGUUUACUUGUUUUGUCCUGUGUGUCUGAGAGCCUAAUGUGAGUUGGGCAUCUGCACUGCCUUGAUGCGUUGUGCUCACUGCCUAGGACAGGCAGAGCAUAUGCGGGCACUGAAGUGUCUAGUGCUAAAGUAUAGUGUGGUAAACACAGUUUUGUGAGUUUGCUGUAUUUCUUUAUGAAUUGCCUUUGCUCAUUUGUCAUCUGAAGUAUGCUUUUAUAUAUUUCUAUAAGAGCUAUUUAUAAAGAUGACCCCACCCGCACCCCAUUCUUUUUUUUUUUUUUUUUUUUUUUUGGUUCUUUUUUUUCCGGAGCUGGGGACCGAACCCAGGGCCUUGCGCUUCCUAGGUAAGCGCUCUACCACUGAGCUAAAUCCCCAGCCCCCACCCACACCCCAUUCUUAAGUGCUACAGACACCUGCAGAGCCUUCCUGGUGCCUGGUGGAAGUCAGCCCUUAGUUUAGCCAUUGUCAUCAGGUCACGUAGUCUUUAUGGAGUUACAUUUUCCUCUUUGUCUUAUUGGUGACUGGUUUGUGCCUCAACAAAGUGUAUAUAGAUUUUAAGAUAUCUUUCUGUUACUGUUUAAAAAAAAAACCUGACGAGAAUAUAUGUGGUAUGAUUUUAUUUAUUUUAAAGUUUACAAGUUGGUGCUGUGGCCCAGGAUGUGGUCUGCGUGUGAACUAAGGAGACUGCUCUUUUGUUGUUGGGUAGUGGUUUUGGGUAAAUAGUGUUUAGGUCACAAUUGGUAUUAAGUGUGUCUUUAUCUCUUUUUUGAUUCACCUUUUCUAUAAACAGAGAAGAGUUGGGGCACAGAGUGACUUUGUUAAUUUCACAUUUGAUUUCUAUCUGUUUUGUUGCAUGUACUUUGAAGAUCCGGUGCUAGGUACAUGUGUGUUUAAGAUUAUUAGAUUUUUUUUUUUUUUUUUUUUUUUUGGUUCUUUUUUUCGGAGCUGGGGAUCGAACCCAGGGCCUUGCGCUUCCUAGGUAAGCGCUCUACCACUGAGCUAAAUCCCCAGCCCCGAUUAUUAGAUUUUUAUUGGUGAAUUAAGCCCUUUAAAUUACAGUAGUCCUGGCUGAUUAAAAAAAUCCUUCUGGGGGCUGGAGAGAGAUGACUCACCUGAAUUCAGUUCAUAGCACAUGUUAGGCAGAUACUAACCUUGUGUAACUCUAGCUCCCAGUGAUCCGAGGCCUCUUAUGGCCUCCCACACUAAGUGGCAUAUGCUCACAUACAUAUACACUUAAAUAAAAAUACAUCUUUAAAAAUGUCUUAGUCAUCUUAGUUAAUAACAGCUAUGUAGCUUUCUUUCGAGAAGUCUUCACACCAUACCAUUUCCAUUCUUUUAUUUUUAAUUUUUCCACCCUUUGUAUCCCUUUAUUUAAGGCACCUCCUUGAGGUAGUGAUUUUUGUACUCCAGUGGCUGUCUGAUACUGUGCAAAGACACUGUUUUGAGUCUUUUCUUGUCCCACAAGGGUGAUGCUGUUGGUCUUUAGUACCUAGAACUGAGGUCCUUUUGAACUUUCUGUGUGCACAGGACAGCACUCCACUGUAAGGAUAUGUGGUCAAGAUGUAGAUUGUGCUCUGUUGGGAAAGCCCGCUUUGAAGGUCACAGUAUCCAAAGCUAAUUUAGCAGUGCACUCUGAGCACUGUCCUCUUCCCACCUCAGGUAAAGCAGACAACCCGACACUGCCUACUGUAGUGUUGUUGUCUUUGCAGUUACUGACUGGAGCUUACGAACCCAGAGCUGUCAUUUUACUCUGCGUAGCCCUACAUAUGUUAAAGAACUUUUGUCGCUGUUUUUGGCUCUUAAAAUUCUUAAUUUUCUCCGGAUACUGUUUUUAUCUUGAAACUUGCUUAGCAUUCUUAAAGGCAGAGCUGCUGAUAAAACUUUCUCCUGGUUUUCUUUCAUAUAGAUAUUGUGGGUCGUUGGACAUGAUGUUCUGUUUGGUAUAAACUAAAGCUUCCAGAAAAAAAGUCACAUCUGUGUAAAGAUGCUACAGAACCAAAUGACCAGCUAGAACUUAGUGGUUAUGGAGGGUCGCAGUGCUGCGGCCAGUUAUGGAGGUGUCAUCACAGGAGGCCCAGAGCCAUGGUGUCUACCUGCUUCAGUUCCUCCAUAGCCAUUUAUUUCCCACUGAGGCUGACCCAACAGCCUCUAACAUAAUCUUCCCCCUUUGAUGUCUCCUGUUGCCGCCUCCUCCUUGAACACCCUUCUCCUCUCGCGGUCUACUUUCUAGUAUUGAAGCCUUCAUAAAUAAGAUUUUCCGUGGGAGAGAGAACAUAGGAUGUCUAUGAGUUAGCUCAGGUGAUGGACUACAUCCCCAUUUGCUGCAUUUUCCAGCAAAGCUCCUGGUCUUUUGCAGCUGUACUAAUCCCAUUGUGGUAUAUGCCCAUAGUGCAUUCUACCCCUCCCAGCCAUGAAUACAACUUCCAUUUUCCUAUAUCCUUCAACAUUUGUUGUAUCUUUUCUUGGUGCCAUUCUCACUGGGCAUCUUGAAGUAAUUUUGAAUGGCUUACAAAGUUGAACACUUCUAAACACAUUCAUAGGCCAUUUACGCUUCUGUUUUUGAGGACUAUCUGUCGUGCAGACCCCGCCCCCCCCGGGUGUGUGUGUGUGGUGUGUGAUUUUGCAGUUCUUUUGCAUACACACACACACACACACACACACACACACACACACACACAAA